GGUUAAAAGUGUUGUGCCAUUUAGUGAGCCAUUUACAGUGGACCGUCAAAAACCACCCCCCGAGAAGGACUACAAUGUUUACUUUAAAACUUUGAAAGAUGGAAUUAUAGGAAAGGAAAUCCUCGAACAAGAUCCUGUACCAGUGUAAUGUUUUGCAUACAUAGAGCUCUAAUUUCAACUUUAACUCUGUAAGUAUAAUGGAGCUUAAUAUACUUCCAUUUUCAUCUGAGAUAAUUCUCUCAGCAAUGAGUCAAUGACUAAUGAGAAGAAAAUCUGUCAACAUAUAUAUAUAUAUAUAUAUUAAUUCUCUCUCUCUCUCUCUCUCUCUCUCUCUCUCUCUCAUUGCAGGUGUACAUACUCGUAGCAGAUGAAAAGCAGAGGCUUCUACGGGAACAUACAUAAGCGACUAAGAUUAUAAAGUUCUGUAGGACAAAUAUACGUGACUUAAAAUGUUUCACCUGAGAUGAUAGGUUCUCACUUUCAAAAGGCUAUAGCCUUGAUCAUGAUGACGUCCAAAUCUCCUGAUUAUGUAUAGAGGUUUGAAAUUUUAUUUCAAUUCAGCUGUAUAAUGUUAUUUUCUUUUCUACGUAUGAGUAGCUUAUAUAAUGUUUUCUAAUGAUUUUAAAAAUAUAUAUACAUACAUAAAUUAUUGUACGUGUGUUUGGCCUUGAAUGUUAAGUUAAAGACAUUGGCAGAAUCAUGGCUUGUAACCAUUUCUAUGGUAGCGCCGCACACAAGGCUUGCAGCCUCAGCAUAAAAGUGAAGAUGGAGAUCAAUGGCUCAGUUUUAUAUCAAAUCAAGAAGGAAAUUCCAAUGCUGCGGCUUAUAAAACUAAGAAGGGUUCAUAGAGCAAGCACUUUCUGUACACUACAGGCAGAUUGUAGAAGCUUACAGGAAAUUGGACUAUGAUUAACUAUGAGGGUUAUUGUAGGUCAAUUUUUCAUUAAGACAUUAGCCAUAG
rnacentral:lncRNA from 1 species